AAAACUGAGGCUCAGCCAAGCAAGGAACGGCGGAGACCUGAGAGGGAUGGGAAGGAGACGCCGAGGGGGAGGGGCGAGCGGGGGCCAGGAACCAAGGCGGUGGCAGCCGCGCCCUAAGCCAGCUGGCCCGGGGCCCCUCCAGCCCUAGAUCGGUCCUCCACGAGCCUGCCUUGAGGAUGCAGAGCCCCAUCUAGCUCCAGUUCUGCCGCCAACUCCCUGGCACCUUGGACAGAUCCCCUGAUCCUUCAGGCCCCCUCAUCAAGCUUACUGAGUCUCUGGGAGUAGCAGGAGGUCAACACAGAGACAGGUCUCAAGACUUCCUGGCCUCUCCCAUCUCGUGGGCAGUUGAAGGAGCUACUUCCUGUCUUAGUCCCCGACAGCAGUAAUAAUAAUAAUAAUACCAAAUGAAAUUCUGAUUGUACACUCAAGACGUGCCAAGCAGUAUACCUAUGUUUCUUGCACAUCAUUUCAUUUCAUGAGGGUGCCAGCACAGACCUGAAACCCCCUUUGUCACUAUGGGGAUACCCUUACCCCUGUCCCUAGCCUUCCUGCCACCCCACUCAGGAGCUCCUGGGAGCUUGCCCUUACCCGUAAGGACAGGGUGUCUUUGCACUGUAAGCUGAUGCCACACUCAUCAGUGAUCUCCGAGAGGUCUUCAUCCUCAAACUCCUCCAGGCUGAUGUCAUGGGUGAG
rnacentral:lncRNA from 1 species